UUUGUAACCCGAGAGUAAUUAUGAUAACUCGAGGGGACGGUUAAAAAAAGAACUUCAUGGGAGACCAAAUCCUAAUAAAUUCACACUACAAAUGUCUCACGACUUUGAUCUGUGGUUUCGAUUUUUUUAGCCCACAUUCAACGGAAGGUAGCAAAUGGCAGUGGGAAGUAAGCUCAGAAUAAACUACGAAAGAAAGCCGUGGUGGGGACUGGGGAUUAUCGCUAAUGGGAGACGACGUCAAUCAGAAAUCUUUCAAUCUCCAAAUGAUGGCCUGUAGGCCAAAAUGCCAGCACCUAUUUUCUCAACCGCACACAUGGCCCGGACUAUCCACUUUCAAAUAUUCUUGCCCGAGCCCGGAGGCAAUAAUAUGGCCAUGCUACGAUAAUUUCAUGUCCUACUUCCAAACUUGAACAAAAUGCAUCCUCUCUCAUCUUAUAUGCUUUCUUGCCUUUGUUUCUACACGGUGCUUCUUCUUGGCACCUUGUUUCUUUUGUAUCUUGGAUUCUUUAAGAUGCUAGGGUAUUGUAACCGGAUUGCAGAGGCUGAUAUCCCACCGGGUAGUUGUGGAUUACCGUUGAUCGGAGAGACCGUACAGUUCAUGGCAGCCAUGAAUAAUGGCAGAGGUUUUUACGACUUCGUCCGAGCUCGCCGUCUAAGGUAUGGCAAUUGCUUCAAGACCAACAUCCUUGGACUUGUACAAGUUUUUGUUUCAAGCACAGAAUCGGCCAAGAUAAUCUUAAAUAAUGAAUCGGGAAAAUUCACGAAGAGAUACAUAAAAUCAAUCGCAGAGCUUGUGGGAGAUCAAAGCCUGCUAUGUGCUUCUCAUGGACACCACAAACUCAUCCGUAGCUGUUUGACACAUUUAUUCUCAACAAGUUCCAUUUCUGUUUUUAUCAAACAGUUCGAUGAACUGGUUGUGAAAAGUCUUAGCACCUGGCAAGAUGGGGACACAAUAGUUGUUCUUGACCAGGCAACCGAGAUAACCUUCGAAGCCAUGUGCAGGAUGUUGAUGAGCUUAGAGGACGAUCCGAAACUACAAACGCUGCAAGAGGACAUAACUCAUGUCUGUGAAGCCAUGCUCGCCUUCCCUAUAAGGUUUCCUUGGACUAGAUUUUACAAAGGCCUUAGGGCCAGGAAAAGGAUUAUGAGCACACUGGAUUUGAUCAUAACUGAAAGAAGAAGAUGCUCACAAGGCAAUCAAAAAGAUUUUAUGCAAUGCCUAUUGGUAGAAGAUGAAAAGCCAGGUUCUGAUGAGGCCUAUAGGAUGACAGACACAGAGAUAAAAGACAACAUUUUGACCAUGAUUAUUGCAGGUCAGGAUACAACUGCAAGUGCAAUCACAUGGAUGGUCAAGUAUCUUGGAGAAAAUCAAGAUGUUCUAGACACCCUCAGAGCAGAGCAACUUCACCUCGCAGAAAAAAUUUCACCAGGGCCAUUUCUCGCACUGGAAGAUCUUGCUGAGAUGCCAUACGCUUCUAAGGUAGUCAAAGAAUCAUUAAGGAUGGCAUCUAUAGUACCUUGGUUUCCAAGAUUAGCACUUGAAGAUUGUGAGAUUGAAGGAUUUAAGAUAAAGAAAGGGUGGAACAUUAAUGUUGAUGUUAAAUCAAUACACCUUGACCCUAAUCUUUACAAUGGCCCCAAUAAGUUCAAUCCUUCAAGGUUUAAUGAUGACUCAAAGCCAUACAGCUUCUUAGCAUUUGGGAUGGGAGCAAGAACUUGCCUGGGAAUGAACAUGGCUAAAGCCAUGAUGCUUGUCUUCCUUCAUCGUCUAAUCACAACAUACAAGUGGAAGGUGAUAGACUCAGACUCAAGUAUUGAGAAAUGGGCAUUGUUCUCCAGAUUAAAAAGUGGCUGUCCGGUUCAAGUAACCCGUAUUGAUAAUAGAAAGGAUGAUACCUCUGCGUAUGGCUCGCAUUAAACAAACAAUGAGAAAAACAUGGUUUGUGUAAGCUGCCUAAAAGGGAACAAAAUGAAGGCUUCGUGUUCAUAGUUUAUUGGGUGAUCAUUACUGUUUGAAGUAGCAAAGGGCAUGCCCUGAGAUAACAUAAUCAAAUCAAUCAUCGCCUGCCACAGCAUCCGUGUAAUUGAAUGAAAUGAUGAGUGCUUGUAUCUGCUUGAAAGAGUCAAGUCAGUUCUAUAUACCAUAUGCAAUAGGGUACACCACCUAAUCUUAGGGACAAGCCCUCCAAUUUUGACCCCUUGUAAGUAUUGUCUGAAAUUAAGUAUAAGAGGACGUGAUUAAUAAAUUUAAUUUUAUAAAAAAUAAAAUUAUACUACUUCAAUCUACAAUAACUCGAUCUCCUCACAUGUUAUAGAAAAAAACUGAGAUUUUUUAGUUUUUAUUUUGUAAUGAGAAAAGAGUCCACGUACCCCAUUUUAUUUUACUCCAUGAAAUAUCUCUGAAGUGCUGUAUAUUUUCUGACUAAACGAUAUGCUGUCAUGGAAACAAUAAGAUAUAUCACAGAAGAAACCAUCAAAUGUUUUGAAUGGAAGCCAUGCCCAUCUGCAAUUAUUAUUAUUAUAAGGAGAGCGAGUGCUGCUUUGAUUCUAACAAAGUAAUCUCAUCACCAACAAGUUCCUGUCCAGAUGAUGAUCAUAUGAUGCCGCCAGUGUUUCCCCAACCACACCAUGACUACAAACUGGACGAAAUAUGUGAAUCAUGUAUACGUAUAUUCCAAUUAAUUGGCGGGUGGACCGUCAAUUCAUGAUUUUGUAAUAAGUUGGCUGUGCAUAAUAUCAAGUGGACAGAUAAUUCAUUUUCUUU